UACACUCCUACGGGAGGCAGCAGUGGGGAAUAUUGGACAAUGGGCGCAAGCCUGAUCCAGCCAUGCCGCGUGAGUGAUGAAGGCCCUAGGGUUGUAAAGCUCUUUCACCGGUGAAGAUAAUGACGGUAACAGGAGAAGAAGCCCCGGCUAACUUCGUGCCAGCAGCCGCGGUAAUACGAAGGGGGCUAGCGUUGUUCGGAUUUACUGGGCGUAAAGCGCACGUAGGCGGACUAUUAAGUCAGGGGUGAAAUCCCGGGGCUCAACCCCGGAACUGCCUUUGAUACUGGUAGUCUUGAGUUCGAGAGAGGUGAGUGGAAUUCCGAGUGUAGAGGUGAAAUUCGUAGAUAUUCGGAGGAACACCAGUGGCGAAGGCGGCUCACUGGCUCGAUACUGACGCUGAGGUGCGAUAGCGUGGGGAGCAAACAGGAUUAGAUACCCCUGUAGUCCCA
rnacentral:rRNA from 1 species